UGACACGGACUACCAGGGCUUUGUGAUGCGCUCUCAAAGAGUCGAGUUGUUNGGGAAUGCAGCUCAAAAUGGGUGGUAAAUUCCAUCUAAAGCUAAAUAUUGGCGAGAGACCGAUAGCGAACAAGUACCGUGAGGGAAAGAUGAAAAGGACUUUGGAAAGAGAGUUAAACAGUACGUGAAAUUGCUGAAAGGGAAACGCUUGAAGUCAGUCGCGUUGUCCAGGGAUCAACCUUGCUUUUGCUUGGUGCACUUUCUGGUUGACGGGUCAGCAUCAAUUUUGACCAUUGGAAAAAGAUUAGGGGAAUGUGACAUCUUCGGAUGUGUUAUAGCCCUUGGUUGCAUACGAUGGUUGGGAUUGAGGAACUCAGCACGCCGCAAGGCCGGGUUUUUAACCACGUACGUGCUUAGGAUGCUGGCAUAAUGGCUUUAAUCGACCCGUCUUGAAACACGGACCAAGGAGUCUAACAUGCCUGCGAGUGUUUGGGUGGAAAACCCGAGCGCGUAAUGAAAGUGAAAGUUGAGAUCCCUGUCGUGGGGAGCAUCGACGCCCGGACCAGACCUUUUGUGACGGUUCCGCGGUAGAGCAUGUAUGUUGGGACCCGAAAGAUGGUGAACUAUGCCUGAAUAGGGUGAAGCCAGAGGAAACUCUGGUGGAGGCUCGUAGCGAUUCUGACGUGCAAAUCGAUCGUCAAAUUUGGGUAUAGGGGCGAAAGACU
rnacentral:rRNA from 1 species